UACGUAGGGUGCAAGCGUUAAUCGGAAUUACUGGGCGUAAAGCGUGCGCAGGCGGUUUUGUAAGUCUGUCGUGAAAUCCCCGGGCUCAACCUGGGAAUUGCGAUGGAGACUGCAAGGCUAGAAUCUGGCAGAGGGGGGUAGAAUUCCACGUGUAGCAGUGAAAUGCGUAGAUAUCGGGAGGAACACCAGUGGCGAAGGCGGCUUCCUGGCC
rnacentral:rRNA from 1 species